rnacentral:rRNA from 1 species
ACGGGAGGCAGCAGUGGGGAAUAUUGCACAAUGGGGGAAACCCUGAUGCAGCGACGCCGCGAGUGAAGAAGUAUUUCGGUAUGUAAAGCUCUAUCAGCAGGAAAGAAAAUGACGGUACCUGACUAAGAAGCCCCGGCUAACUACGUGCCAGCAGCCGCGGUAAUACGUAGGGGGCAAGCGUUAUCCGGAUUUACUGGGUGUAAAGGGAGCGUAGACGGUAUGGCAAGUCUGAUGUGAAAACCCAGGGCUCAACCCUGGGACUGCAUUGGAAACUGUCAAACUAGAGUGCAGGAGAGGUAAGUGGAACUCCUAGUGUAGCGGUGAAAUGCGUAGAUAUUAGGAGGAACACCAGUGGCGAAGGCGGCUUAUUGGACUGUAACUGACGUUGAGGCUCGAAAGCGUGGGGAGCAAACAGGAUUAGAUACCCUGGUA